UACCAGAUAAGAGUGUCGUCCGCACGUCUGAUGUUCGUGUCUCAAACAGAGUGAACUAGUCUGAAAUGACAUUAAAAACUUUCCCCACGGUCUAUAAUGACCUUAUUGGAGAGAUCGAUGCGGCGACCGUGAAGUGGCUGGACAGAAAUCUCUAUAUUGGUGAUGAGAUUCGCGAGGUUUAUGAAGCGGUCAUCAAAACCGUUGGAAAGAGUCAUCUUCUGUUUG